rnacentral:rRNA from 1 species
CCUACGGGAGGCGGCAGUGAGGAAUAUUGGUCCAUGGGCGGGAGCCUGAACCAGCCAAGCCGCGUGAGGGAAGAAGGUACAGCGUAUCGUACACCUCUUUUGUCAGGGAACAAAGGCGGGGACUAGUCCCCGGAUGAGGGUACCUGAAGAAAAAGCAUCGGCUAACUCCGUGCCAGCAGCCGCGGUAAUACGGAGGAUGCGAGCGUUAUCCGGAUUUAUUGGGUUUAACGGGUUCGCAGGCGGCCCGUUAAGUCAGCGGUAAAAGCCCGGGGCUCAACCCCGGCGAGCCGUUGAAACUGGCGGGCGGGAGUUGGAGAGAAGUACGCGGAAGGCGCGGUGUAGCGGUGAAAGGCUUAGAUAUCGCGCAGAACCCCGAUUGCGAAGGCAGCGUACCGGCUCCACACUGACGCUGAGGCACGAAAGCGUGGGUAUCGAACAGGAUUAGAUACCCUUGUAGUC